rnacentral:rRNA from 1 species
AGCGUAGACGGCUGUGUAAGUCUGAAGUGAAAGCCCAGGGCUCAACCCCGGGACUGCUUUGGAAACUAUGCAGCUAGAGUGUCGGAGAGGUAAGUGGAAUUCCCAGUGUAGCGGUGAAAUGCGUAGAUAUUGGGAGGAACACCAGUGGCGAAGGCGGCUUACUGGACGAUGACUGACGUUGAGGCUCGAAAGCGUGGGGAGCAAACA